CCUGCAUUAAAGUGGGAGCACUAUAAGCUGCAAUCAGAUGAUCAGGGCAUCAUGACUGCAGCGAGGGUUUGGAAUGAGUUCUGGGAGAGGUAUCGUUUGCCGGAGGGGGAGGAGCAGUGCCUACAAGCUAGGGCUCGUUCUGUGUUUGACAAGGCAGCGACGAAGGUGGUUAGGGACAUGAUGUCCAAUGCUCGUAUACAGUGUGUUUGCUUAUACUACAAGAA